rnacentral:rRNA from 1 species
UGGGGAAUAUUGGACAAUGGGCGAAAGCCUGAUCCAGCCAUGCCGCGUGUGUGAAGAAGGUCUUCGGAUUGUAAAGCACUUUAAGUUGGGAGGAAGGGCAUUAACCUAAUACGUUAGUGUUUUGACGUUACCGACAGAAUAAGUACCGGCUAACUCUGUGCCAGCAGCCGCGGUAAUACAGAGGGUGCAAGCGUUAAUCGGAAUUACUGGGCGUAAAGCGCGCGUAGGUGGUUUGUUAAGUUGGAUGUGAAAUCCCCGGGCUCAACCUGGGAACUGCAUUCAAAACUGACUGACUAGAGUAUGGUAGAGGGUGGUGGAAUUUCCUGUGUAGCGGUGAAAUGCGUAGAUAUAGGAAGGAACACCAGUGGCGAAGGCGACCACCUGGACUAAUACUGACACUGAGGUGCGAAAGCGUGGGGAGCAAACA